GAGUUUGAUCCUGGCUCAGAUUGAACGCUGGCGGCAUGCCUUACACAUGCAAGUCGAACGGCAGCACGGGAGCUUGCUCCUGGUGGCGAGUGGCGAACGGGUGAGUAAUGCAUCGGAACGUAUCCUGGAGUGGGGGAUAACGUAGCGAAAGUUACGCUAAUACCGCAUAUUCUGUGAGCAGGAAAGCGGGGGACCUUCGGGCCUCGCGCUCUUGGAGCGGCGAUGUCGGAUUAGCUAGUUGGUUGAGGUAAAGGGACUCACCAAGGCGACGAUCCGUAGCAGGUCUGAGAGGAUGAUCUGCCACACUGGAACUGAGACACGGUCCAGACUCCUACGGGAGGCA
rnacentral:rRNA from 1 species